UUUUUUUUUUUUUUUUUUUUGAAACAAAAUUUUGUGUCAGACUUCUGUAAAAUUCACCAACUUUUCUUAUGCUGCUAUAUAGGUUUUUUUUGGUUUGUUUUUGAAUGUGUUAAAGUUAUGCUUACACCAAAGUUUCUUUAUUGAAAUUAUAUUUCAGAAAUUGACUUAAUUAUUACUGGAAAAAAAUCCCCAUUAAUGUGGGUAUUAAAAAAAAACUAUUUCUUUUAAUGUUCAAGAAACAAAUGCAAAUAGUAUUCUUCUGAAUGAAACAUUUACAGAAUCUAAAGAAAUGCCCUCCAAUCAAAAGACUGUCACAUUUUUGUCCUUUCUGUACUGUUCCUUUUUAUCACUCAAGAUGGACACAAGAAUUGUGUUCUACAUCUUCUUUUUGAAAGUUGUUUUUUUCUAUUCUCUACCAUAGUCUGUGUAUGAACUCAUUUCGUGAACAUGAUUGUACUUGUGACUGCCUAGUUAAUGGGGGUCAGUAAGACGAAAACAAAAAUAUGUUCAUUUUAAUUGUUUUCCAUUCAAUAGAAAUACAGAAGCCAGUAAAAAAUGGCGGUACAACCAGUGAAAACUGUUUUUGUGUUUUCACCUGUUAUGCUUUAAAACAUGGAGUUUCAUUUCUAAUUUGUGUUGAUUUUAGUGAUAACAUUAUAUCAUACAAGAUUUUGAAAAUCAUAGGAAUUAUUUUACUUUGUGUUUGGCAAUUUUUUUCUUCCUUCUAAAAACAUCAACUUUGAAUUUUUUGUUAUUUUAAGGUGCAAUGUCAGUAUCAUUAUUUUCAGUAAGUUGUGUUGAAGAAAAAAAAAGUUGAGUAUGUUAAGACAAUUUAAAAUAAUCAAAAUAUUGCCAUGCACAUUCACAUGUGAACAGUUCAUUUUGAUGACUUCAUUUUAAAAGAAAUCACCAAAGUUUUAUGACUAGUUCUUCUGUAAAAGUACAAGUUUUAUGAUGUAUGCAUAACAGGGGAAGAUCUCCUAGUCAAUUCUAUUCAUUUCUUCUUCUGUUCAUAGUUAAUAUAUUUGUCCAUACAUUUCUUAUGUUCUCAUUGUGUCCAUACAUUGUUUCAUCCAUAUGUCUACCUUCAGAGAGUCUUCUUCAUCUAGUGCUUCAUCAUUGCAAACAACUUUUUAUUUGGGUUGUGUAGCCAAGUAAACUGUAAUUUUAUUUGUAAAUUUGUACAAAUGACCAGGAGUAAUUCAAAUCAUGAUUGAUGUUAUCAGCAUCAUUUAUUGUGUUAUAAAAAAAAGAAAAAGUUUUCUUGCUUGUCCUAUUUGAAGUGAAAUCAGAGCUCAACCUGUUCCUUUGGUUGUGAAACUCUUAGAUUUGGUUUUGUUCAUUUUAAUUGACAAGACACUACAAAAUAGCUUUUCACUUCAAGUUUUUAAAUUAGUGUGUGUUAAAAUUACAUUUGUUGCAAUUUAAAGUUUUUAUGCUAUUUUUAACAAUUAAUAAAAACACUUUUUUUUAAAAUGUGAGAAACAUGAAACUAUUUGUUGAAACUCUGAAUUCUCUGAGCAAGGUAGCAAAGUAAUGCAUGUACUUGACAUGACUACUAUCACACUGUCCUUGCCCAAUAUGGCAUACAAUUUAUAAUCUUUAGUGUGCAAACAAACUAUACAAAUAUUUUUUUUUACAUUUCACAAGCUUUAGUAUUACAACAAAGAAGAGUAGAGUUUCUGUAUAUUUUUGUACAAAUUUCAAUCAGUUGAUACACUGAGUAUGACUGGAGCGAACAAAAUUAUUUUUUAUUUAUUGGCGAGAAGACUAUUUUAAAUCUGUACUAAAAACUUUCUAUUCCCCCCCCCCCCCCCCUUUUUUUUU